rnacentral:rRNA from 1 species
CCUACGGGAGGCAGCAGUGGGGAAUCUUAGACAAUGGGGGCAACCCUGAUCUAGCCAUGCCGCGUGAGUGAUGAAGGCCCUAGGGUUGUAAAGCUCUUUCAGCUGGGAAGAUAAUGACGGUACCAGCAGAAGAAGCCCCGGCUAACUCCGUGCCAGCAGCCGCGGUAAUACGGAGGGGGCUAGCGUUGUUCGGAAUUACUGGGCGUAAAGCGCACGUAGGCGGACCGGAAAGUUGGGGGUGAAAUCCCGGGGCUCAACCCCGGAACUGCCUUCAAAACUAUCGGUCUGGAGUUCGAGAGAGGUGAGUGGAAUUCCGAGUGUAGAGGUGAAAUUCGUAGAUAUUCGGAGGAACACCAGUGGCGAAGGCGGCUCACUGGCUCGAUACUGACGCUGAGGUGCGAAAGCGUGGGGAGCAAACAGGAUUAGAUACCCCAGUAGUCC